CACGUCCCAAAAUAUGAUUGGCUUAGCUAUCUGCAAAAGGCGUGGCCAGGGUUUGUGUUUGGAACGUCUCCUCGGUUUUGAAAUUCAAACUGCCAGUGGCGGGUAAACGGCACAGCAACACAGAGAGGCGAGACGAGGACUAACUAAAGGAACUUCACGAAGCUUUAAAAGAAAAUACAAACGACUUCAACCUUGCAAGCCAUGGCCUAAACGUCUAUUCUGAUAUCGUUCUGAAGUGCCUUUCUCAAAAAGAAAACAACAAUUCCAAAGCAUGUGAAACCAUGUGGAGCAGGAUUGUCAAGCUCCAGACCUGAAAUAAUAAAUACAAUAAUGACAUGAGGCUCAUCAUAAGCCUCAAUUCAAAGCACCUUGAAUUCCUACAAUUUACAGAAAGGUUAUACCUUUUACAAGAAGAACAUUUCUAAGCUAACAGUUACAAAAAACAAAAUGAGGAUUGCUUACAAGUAGAAAAAUCUUUACUGAUCAGAAAAAAGGUUAUGGAAACAGACGUCACAUUGGUUAUACAGUGAACAGGUUAAAGGCACAUGUGUCUUCAGUUUCCAUGUGAACAAAAACAAGGUAGGGACUUCUCCAGCGUAGCAGCAUGUGUCUCCUUUGUUGAUUAUAUACAGAUUAAAUUAUGAGCAUUUUCAGCACUAAAUUAUCCAUUGUUAUAUUCUUUUAGUAUACAAUGACACACAAUUGGUUUCAUUUUUGCUGAACAGGCCAACAGACUCAAUGCUUUACAGGUGCUAGUGCAUGAGGUCAGUGUGGGAGACUUGUUGGUAAUCCUGCAUUACGCCUAUUCACACAGAAAACCUUUGGGUCUGUGUUUGUAGUCUUACUUGGUUUCUCCCUUUUCCAUGGCUAAUGGAAUAUGAAUGCUCUGAAAUGGUCUCCUUGGUUUUUUUCAUGUUUUUCCGUAUGCAUGGGGCGCAGUGAUUUCUCUUUUUCUUGUUAGUGGGGUGAACUGACCAGAAGCAAUCUUGUGGGCUCUUUCUACAGAGCUGUACAAUUCAGAGGUUUUUUAUGCAAUGUGGUGAUUUGCUCCAAUCAAGGAGUUCUGACAACAUUUCUUGUAACUUAGGUUUGAGUCUGUUUGUGGAUUCUGAGGUUCAUGAUCACAGUGGUGUGAUCUGUGCUGAACAUGUUAAAAACAAAUUGGCAAACACACUUUUCACCAAAACUGUUUGCAGUGCAAGAGAAAUGGCCAUGGGUCUUCUUCACAACCCAAUGCAGCCAUUCACCAAAAAUAGUGAGGUUGACUUCAGCAAUAAUGUAAGAAGGACAUGUCUGGCUGCCUUAUUCCUUGUGUCAUUGUGUCAAUUCCUCUUUUUAUCAGUGCACUCUUUUUAACCCGCUGUUUUGAAUGAACAGAUUACACAAAUAUUCCUGCAUGAAGUCCAGGGAGACUUACAGUUGUUACAAAAUAUCACAAUACAAAGUAUCAUAUUACAAAAUACCACAUUACAGAAUGUCACAUUACAGAUAACAGGAGUUGUAAAGUACAGUAAAAUCAGUAGAAAAUAAGAUGAAAUUCAAAUAAGAGCAAAAUAGAGUACAGUAAUUACAUUUAAGAGCAAGUUCGACUGACAGCAGUUAGACUUACAGUAAAAAUAUUUGCUUAUACAAGUAAAGUCCAUUAAGAGCACGUAGCAAGUAUGAUAAAUGGAUGAGAACGAUUUCAAAUACGAGCAAUUACAAAAACAUGAACUCUCCAGAUCGGAGCCCCUUUUCUUCCUCCUCCUCCUCCUCCACUGCUGAUCUCUCUAUCUCUAUUCCUCUUGAAUCCCUCACCCUCUCUCCCUCCUCAUCCACCAAGAACCUCAGUGUCACCCUCAACCCUUCCCUCUCCUACUCUCAGCACAUCUCUACUCUGGCACACUCCUGUCACUUCUUCUUCAGCAAUAAGCACAGAAUUCACCCCUUCCUCAUGAUUACUGCACACAGCUCCUAGUUCAGGCCCUGGUACUGUCCCACCUUGAUUACUGCAUCUCCCUCUUGGCCGGCCUCCCUGCCUGCUAUCUGUCCACUCCAGCUCAUCCAAAACUCUGCUGCUCGCCUUUGUCUUUUCCCUUCCUUGUUUCUCCCACGCUACACCGCUGCUCUGUUCUCAUCCAAUUCAAAACUCUUGUACUCACCUAUCGCUGCCUUGACCUUUCUGCUCCCUCCUAUCUCCAGACUAUCAUUUCUCAUUGUGGUAUUAUCUUGGUGUGGCCCUUUGUUCUUUUGUGCUGAAUCUGUUAGCUCUUGAGCCCAUCGGUUCCUCUUUUUAUCAGGUGUUAGUGAGACCAGACCGUCCUAUGAAAGGUAUGCUGUAAUAACAACAGUACUAACUAUAAUAGUAAAAUCAGUUACAUUUCCAGGGUGCUGAUGUGAAACAACUAAAUGGGCUUUUAAAUCGUCCAAGUCCUUACUUUCUCAUUUAAAAGCAGAAUGAAGGAUGAGAACGAGAGCGCACCCACCAAAAGUGUUAAUUUAUUAUUAUUUGUUUAUUUAGCAGACUCCUUUAUCCAAGGUGACUUACAGAGACUAGGGUGUGUGAACUAUGCAUCAGCUGCAGAGUCACUUACAAUUACGUCUCACCCGAAAGACGGAGCACAAGGAGGUGAAGUGACUUGCUCAGGGUCACACAAUGAGUCAGUGGAUGAGGUGGGAUUUGAACCGGGGACCUCCUGGUUACAAGCCCUUUUCUUUAACCACUGGACCACACAGCCUCCUUAAAAGUGUACUCACUGGGCCCAUGCUGGCAUUUAUGACUAUCGUGCAAAUGCAUUGCUAUCAAAGACUGGGAAUUAACUAUUGAAAUGACGUCACUGUAUACUGUGCUUCAUUGAGGGUGUCUUACCCAUGUGAAGAAAGCUUUGCCCCACGAGUGGAGCAGUAUCUAUCAGAAAAUCUAGUUCGUUUUGAGGCAAUGCAUUUGAAACACCUGUUUGCAAAGCUAAAACCACGCUUCCAGCACCUCCUAUAUUGUGCUCAAUUAAAGCUGGCUUUUCUAUAUGAAAAACGCUUUGCCCCGGGAUAAUGCCAAAUUUCUCAUUGUGUGGACUUGUAUCUCUUAGGGAAAACAAAUAAAGGUGUGGGGCAAGGCGAUUUACAUAUCGUAUUACUUCGAAUUUCAGAUUAUUGUUUGUUUAUUUGUUUAUUUAGCAGAUGCCUUUAUCCAAGGUGACUUACAGAGACUAUGGUGUGUGAACUAAGCAUCAGCUGCAGAGUCACUUACAACUACGUCUCACACAAAAGACGGAGCACAAGGAGGUGAAGUGACAUGCUCAGGGUCACACAAUGAGUCAGUGGCUGAGGGGGGAUUUGAACCGGGGACCUCCUGGUUACAAGCCCUUUUCUUUAACCACUGGACCACACAGCCUCCUUGAUGCACUUUUUAAACCUUUUUUUUCUUCUCAGAAAUGGCCUGCAUCUUAAAUUGGAGUACAGUAUAGUGAUCCGUGUACUAAAAUCUCCAACAGAAGACGUGCCUGUCCGAGCACACAAACAGCAGCGUGACUGACUGGCACUUGAAGGGUUCUGUAGUAGUUAUCCUGAGGAGCGGACGCUCUCCUCCUCGAGAUAAAUAAAGCAAGCUUUCGCUCAGUGCUCGCCUGUGUAGCUGUGACCGUGGUGCAGCAGCCUCGAACUGGCGCUGCUGCGUUCUUAAAACAGCCGUAGGCUCCCCGGGCACGCCACCAGCCAAUCAGGACCUCCCGAACAGCUCAGCUCCAGGCAAGGCUUCCUGUUUGCCACAGCAGCACAAGUAAAUGAGAUAUACCCUGUCCCUCUCUUUGGCCGUUUUUUUUCGGCCACAAACCUGAUUUACCUGAGUGAUUCUCCCAAACGUACACGCGCAUCGCCAUUUCACAUGUAAACUGACCUGCAUGGAAACCCCAUGAAUGAUGGCAUCCACAUGUGUUUAUAAUGGUACAUUUGAGGGUAUCCUUUCUAUAUAAACAUGCAUUGCCAUGGGAUAAUUCUAUAGUCAAAUAGUCAAAUAUUUGGGGCAAUGUGUUUUGCAAGAUGGGCUGAAUGGCCUCCUCUCGUUUGUAAACUUUCUUAUGUACACACCUGUAUCCAACAAUAAAAACAUGCCAGGUGCAUCUCUGUACAGUGCACCAGAUUAACAUCAGGCUAAAGAAAUAUAAUCAACUGUAUAGUGUUAUAAAGACUUUACUGUGAAAUUUGAAUUAUAAAGUAACUGAAACACAUAUGUUAAAACAGGUUGCACAAAAGAUAUCUACAACGAAUAAUGUAUGGAAUGGAUAAAAUGUGUAAACUCUUUCAACAGAUAAAAUCCAAUGGUAUUAUAAACUUCACAAGAAAUACUAUGUCCCUUCAAUUGUAAAGCCACCCCUGCUAUUAAGGACAGAUUUUGCCCCUUUAAUGGCGUUAGUAGUACUGAAAAGGGAAUCAUGGACAGUGUGAAGAUGGAAUCUGUCCAGAUUAAAGAGGAGUUCCCGGAACUUGAACUUGUCCCCAUUAGAGUGGAGUUCUCUGGGCUGGCUUCCCUCCCCAUUAAACAGGAGCUCUGUGAGAUGCAAUGUGACAGCAGCCAGCCAGAGGUCUCUGAGAUUAAAGCUGAGCACAAUUAAUUGGAGAUCCCCCAGACAGAAGAACCCCUUCAUGUUAAACAAGAAGAGGUGCUGGAAACUGUCUGUAUUAAACAGGAGCCCCCUGAAGUAGAGUUUGACCACAUGGAACCAGGGAAGGAAGAAUCCGAGGACUUCAAACCAAACAUCCCUGAGCUGGAGCCUGUACGCCUGCGGGAGUGUAGCGUGGUGCUGGAGAGAAUCUGCGUGAGAGAGCAAGGCGCUGGAGAGGAUGGCUCUCCCAACAGCACGCAAGGAGGUGGAAAGGAAGACGGGCGCUCCCAUUCAGAAUGCAGUCUAGCAGGUUCCAGUCCAGCAGCUAAAGCGAGGGCGGACGGUGGAGAAUAUCCUGACUGUGGGAAAGGUUUCACCCAGUUAGGAAACCUUGCAAUACACCAGCAGAUUCACACAAGAGAUAAACUGUAUUGCUGCUCUGACUGUGGGAAGAGUUUCAAUUUGUUAGGAAACCUGAAAAAACACCAGCGAAUUCACACAGGAGAGAAACCUUAUUGCUGCUCUGACUGUGGGAAGAUUUUCAGUAGGACAGACUCCCUUAAAACACACCAGCGAAUACACACAGGAGAGAAACCGUAUUAUUGCUCUGACUGUGGGAAAAGUUUCAAUCAAUUAGCAAACCUUGGAACACACCAACGAAUUCACACAGGAGAGAAACCGUGUCAAUGCUCUGACUGUGGGAAGAGUUUCAGUCAAUUGGGAAACCUGAGAAGACACCAGCGAGUUCACACAGGAGACAAACCCUAAGUACCAUUUUCGAUGGGACUUUUUACUCGUUAGGAAGAAACAUUAACCUUGCAUUACGAAUCCCUGUGUAAUUACUGUUUUGUGUAUCACUCUUAAGAGCAUGCAUUUUAAAUGGUAAAAAUGCUCUCCCCAGAAUGUGGGCGGUGGGCGGUGACGCGGACACGUCACAAGAGGCUUCUCUGCUGUCAGUUUAACUCAGGCUGUCAAUGCAGUCAGUGCCUGGGAGCGGGAAUAUGCAGAAAGGAAACUAUUCUGCACCUCAUCUGAUGGACGAGUCAGGAGAAAUUGAUAACUCAGUGUGGGGAAUGAGUUUCAGGGUUUAGCAUUUAAACUGCAUAGACUUGAAAAUAAAUACAUUGAUGGGAACGAGUAUCCCGACCCCGGUAUGUAGCAUCCCAGAGACAAGACUGCACCGUCCUUACUGGACAACCGCCUGGAGGGUUUGUCUUGUAAAUUCAUCACAAUCCUAAAACUAAUGAAAAAUGAUAGUGUCCCAUGGCUGUAUUAUGACAUGAAUGGCUGAAUACUGCGUGACGUGUAGCUUUGCACACAUCACACAAUAAAUAAAAUGAAAUCAUGAUCUUCAAUUGAAUUAAUAGUAAUAUUUUAUAUUAUCUCUAAACCACUGGGCAUGCAUAUUUAAUAUUUAUUUGGCAGCUCAAAGGUUCCAGUCUGACUAUAGUUUCAAAAUGACCAUCCACCUGUACACAAGGGUGAUUUAGAUUGAGGGGGUUUCCACUCUGAUGUUCGGCGCGGCUGCAUCUUUGUCACAGCAUAGCGUCUGGAUGAAUUUGUACAUCCAGAUCAACAAUUGAUGCAUUUCUUACUUGCAAAAGAAAAACGAAGGAAGAAAACACACAAGAGUCUGCAUGCGUCUAUGCCAAUUCCCUUUGGAUCAUUUUACAUUGUCUUUAAUUGUUAGUUAGAGAUGUAUUUUAAGGUUGAUGUUUUUGAUAUUGUAACUAUUUUAAAUGGCACACCACUAUGCUGAGCUGGGUAGUACAUGGUAACUUGGUAGACAUUUACAGUGCAGAAUGUUUUAGGUUCUUUAUAAUAACGUUGCUGACUAGAAAGUGAAUCCGUGUGUUUCCGAUGACAUUCCCAAGUACUGUCUUUUGAUUCUGUGCGUGCAAAGACUUGCUAUUAAAAGUUAAGAAUUACUGUUUGGUAUUCCAUCCUUAACCAACAGUUUGUCCCAAACUGACUUGAAUUAUAUAAGAAAUAAACCGGGGGGG